rnacentral:tRNA from 1 species
GUCUUUGUGGUGUAGUGGUCAGCACGCUGGGCCAGAGAUCCGUGGUUCGAAUCCCGGCGAAGGCG